rnacentral:rRNA from 1 species
UACGGGGGGGGCAAGCGUUGUUCGGAAUUACUGGGCGUAAAGGGCGCGUAGGCGGCUUGGUCAGUCCCGUGUGAAAUCCCUCGGCUCAACUGAGGAACUGCACGGGAAACUGCCUGGCUUGAGUUCGGGAGAGGGAAGCGGAAUUCCGGGUGUAGCGGUGAAAUGCGUAGAUAUCUGGAGGAACACCGGUGGCGAAGGCGGCAUCCUGGACCGGUAUUGACGCUGAGGCGCGAAAGCUAGGGGAGCAAACGGG